CAAACAAGACAGACAGAGACGGGGCUGUGAGAGACAAUGGCAGGGCUGCAGGGGGCCAGGCAGGCUUGGGGUUCUGACCGCGAGGGCAAAAGCAGAGACCAUGUUUGUCUUAGAACUCUCCAAAGCUAUGAAAAUUCAGGACAUUUCCUGAGCCCACAUAGUAGAGGUUGACUAAUCUCUUUCAUAACGUCUGUUUCAGGUUAAAGGGACAAAACCCACUUUCACAUCUUUCUGGCUAAGGUCUUGCUUUGGCUUUCUUUGCUUCACAAUAGAGUCAUUGACCCACGCUGGAGUCUGUGGGUGGGACCACAAACAGGAACAUUCACACGACAGAACAAACAUUUCUCCGUGCAAACUGGGAUCCCUGCACUUUCAACUUAAGGGCUUGCUGAUGAACGACCAGGACUUCGGGGUGAUUAGCCCCAACCCUCCACCAAAUGACUGUGUUUGCUUCCUUUCAUAUUUUGACCCCGUGCUUUUUGGCUAAAGUAUAAAAGAAGAGAAAUCUGAAAUGUGUUCUCAAACGUUCAAAGCUCCAAUUGCUGCAGAAGAGAAUUUAAAACAAACCCCCCUUGGACUCUCGGCAGGAGUGGACAGCAGUAUCUCUGCUUAGAAGUCUGCAGGUGAAGGACAGGCUGAGCCAGAGGAAAUCUGUUUCUCAUUAGAAUUCUUGGCGGAGCAUUUUCAGGCUCAUCUGGAAAAGAGAUGAGGAGAAGGGCUGCCAGUGAGAUGGGGAAAAUCAAUAACAACAGCAAUGAAAAUACAAAACCAAACCAAAGCUGAGGCCCAGAGAGAAGAGGUGAACUUACACAGUUUCACAGCCACUGGGAGUCGGAGCUGAGAUGAGGAAUCUGAUUCCUGUCUCCCACAGUGUGCUGGAAAUCAGAGCACCCCCCAGACCUCACCACGUUCUCUUUCCUGGAUGUGCCAGGUCCUAGGGUAAAUGCUGCUUCCGCCCAGAAACCCUCCCCGACCCAAACCCACCCUCAAGUCAGGCCUCCCUGUUGGCGCUCUAUGCACGUUUUCUUUGUGGCACUUACCUGAUUUUAAUCAAGCUUUGUGUAAUUAUUUGCUUAAAGCUCCCUCUCCAGCAAGACUGUAA
rnacentral:lncRNA from 10 species